rnacentral:rRNA from 1 species
CAUCACUACGCUAGAUGCAUAUCAAUAAGCGGAGGAAAAGAAACUAACUAGGAUUCCCUAGUAACGGCGAGUGAAGCGGGAAGAGCUCAAAUUUGAAAUCUUAAAGGUUUCCCUUGACGAAUUGUAGUUUAAAGAAGUGUUUUCUGUUGGAGUUUCGGUAAAAGUUCUUUGGAAUAGGACAUCAUAGAGGGUGAGAAUCCCGUAUUUGACCGUUACUUUCCAGCUGUGUGAUACACUUUCAAAGAGUCGGAUUGUUUGGGAAUGCAGUCCAAAAUGGGUGGUAAAUUUCAUCUAAAGCUAAAUAUUGGCGAGAGACCGAUAGCGAACAAGUACCGUGAGGGAAAGAUGAAAAGAACUUUGAAAAGAGAGUUAAACAGUACGUGAAAUUGUCAAAAGGGAAGCGUUUGACACCAGUGUUGUUUAGUUGAAAAUCAAUUCAAUAAUUUUUGAUUUUGAGUAGUAUUGACUUCAUCAGCUUGCUGCUUUCUUUUCGGAAAUUAUUGAAUGCACUUUUCAGUUAACAAGUCAACAUCAAUUUCUUUUGUUGUAAAAGGGUAAGAGGAAGGUGGCUUGCGCUUCGGCUCAAGUGUUUAUAGCCUUUUAUCUCUGCAAUCGGAGAGAUUGAGGUCUGCAGCGUAGAUCCUUCGGGGUUAGAUACAUUGGUGCUAAGCUAUAGCCUUGUAUAGACAACUUGUUGACUAUGCUCAGUCAUGUAGCUUACUCGCUUGUGCUAUUUUACCUACGCUUAGGAUGUUGAAGAUAUGCGCGACACG